AGUGAACGCUGGCGGUAGGCCUAACACAUGCAAGUCGAACGGCAGCACAGUAAGAGCUUGCUCUUACGGGUGGCGAGUGGCGGACGGGUGAGGAAUACAUCGGAAUCUACUUUUUCGUGGGGGAUAACGUAGGGAAACUUACGCUAAUACCGCAUACGACCUACGGGUGAAAGCAGGGGAUCUUCGGACCUUGCGCGAUUGAAUGAGCCGAUGUCGGAUUAGCUAGUUGGCGGGGUAAAGGCCCACCAAGGCGACGAUCCGUAGCUGGUCUGAGAGGAUGAACAGCCACACUGGAAGUGAGAGACGGUCCAGACUACUACGGGAGGCAGCAGUGGGGAAUAUUGGACAAUGGGCGCAAGCGUGAUCCAGCCAUACCGCGAGGGUGAAGAAGGACUUCGGGUUGUAAAGCCCUUUUGUUGGGAAAGAAAAGCAGCAGGUUAAUACCCCGCUGUUCUGACGGUACCCAAAGAAUAAGCACCGGCUAACUUCGU
rnacentral:rRNA from 1 species